rnacentral:rRNA from 1 species
ACUAAGCGUACACGGUGGAUGCCCUGGCAGUCAGAGGCGAUGAAGGGCGUGCUAAUCUGCGAUAAGCGCCGGUAAGGUGAUAUGAACCGUUAUAACCGGCGAUACCCGAAUGGGGAAACCCAGUGUGACUCGUCACACUAUCAUUAACUGAAUCCAUAGGUUAAUGAGGCGAACCGGGGGAACUGAAACAUCUAAGUACCCCGAGGAAAAGAAAUCAACCGAGAUUCCCCCAGUAGCGGCGAGCGAACGGGGAGGAGCCCAGAGCCUGAAUCAGCAUGUGUGUUAGUGGAAGCGUCUGGAAAGGCGCGCGAUACAGGGUGACAGCCCCGUACACAAAAGCGCAUGUGCUGUGAGCUCGAUGAGUAGGGCGGGACACGUGGUAUCCUGUCUGAAUAUGGGGGGACCAUCCUCCAAGGCUAAAUACUCCUGACUGACCGAUAGUGAACCAGUACCGUGAGGGAAAGGCGAAAAGAACCCCGGCGAGGGGAGUGAAAAAGAACCUGAAACCGUGUACGUACAAGCAGUGGGAGCACCCUUUUGGGUGUGACUGCGUACCUUUUGUAUAAUGGGUCAGCGACUUAUAUUCUGUAGCAAGGUUAACCGAAUAGGGGAGCCGGAGGGAAACCGAGUCUUAAUUGGGCGUUAAGUUGCAGGGUAUAGACCCGAAACCCGGUGAUCUAGCCAUGGGCAGGUUGAAGGUUGGGUAACACUAACUGGAGGACCGAACCGACUAAUGUUGAAAAAUUAGCGGAUGACCUGUGGCUGGGGGUGAAAGGCCAAUCAAACCGGGAGAUAGCUGGUUCUCCCCGAAAGCUAUUUAGGUAGCGCCUCGUGAAUUCAUCUCCGGGGGUAGAGCACUGUUUCGGCUAGGGGGCCAUCCCGGCUUACCAACCCGAUGCAAACUGCGAAUACCGGAGAAUGUUAUCACGGGAGACACACGGCGGGUGCUAACGUCCGUCGUGAAGAGGGAAACAACCCAGACCGCCAGCUAAGGUCCCAAAGUCAUGGUUAAGUGGGAAACGAUGUGGGAAGGCCCAGACAGCCAGGAUGUUGGCUUAGAAGCAGCCAUCAUUUAAAGAAAGCGUAAUAGCUCACUGGUCGAGUCGGCCUGCGCGGAAGAUGUAACGGGGCUAAACCAUGCACCGAAGCUGCGGCAGCGACACUAUGUGUUGUUGGGUAGGGGAGCGUUCUGUAAGCCUGUGAAGGUGUGCUGUGAGGCAUGCUGGAGGUAUCAGAAGUGCGAAUGCUGACAUAAGUAACGAUAAAGCGGGUGAAAAGCCCGCUCGCCGGAAGACCAAGGGUUCCUGUCCAACGUUAAUCGGGGCAGGGUGAGUCGACCCCUAAGGCGAGGCCGAAAGGCGUAGUCGAUGGGAAACGGGUUAAUAUUCCCGUACUUGGUGUUACUGCGAAGGGGGGACGGAGAAGGCUAUGUUGGCCGGGCGACGGUUGUCCCGGUUUAAGCGUGUAGGUGUGUGUUCCAGGUAAAUCCGGUUCACUUUAACACUGAGGCGUGAUGACGAGGCACUACGGUGCUGAAGCAACAAAUGCCCUGCUUCCAGGAAAAGCCUCUAAGCAUCAGGUAACAUCAAAUCGUACCCCAAACCGACACAGGUGGUCAGGUAGAGAAUACCAAGGCGCUUGAGAGAACUCGGGUGAAGGAACUAGGCAAAAUGGUGCCGUAACUUCGGGAGAAGGCACGCUGACACGUAGGUGAAGUGAUUUACUCAUGGAGCUGAAGUCAGUCGAAGAUACCAGCUGGCUGCAACUGUUUAUUAAAAACACAGCACUGUGCAAACACGAAAGUGGACGUAUACGGUGUGACGCCUGCCCGGUGCCGGAAGGUUAAUUGAUGGGGUCAGCGCAAGCGAAGCUCCUGAUCGAAGCCCCGGUAAACGGCGGCCGUAACUAUAACGGUCCUAAGGUAGCGAAAUUCCUUGUCGGGUAAGUUCCGACCUGCACGAAUGGCGUAAUGAUGGCCAGGCUGUCUCCACCCGAGACUCAGUGAAAUUGAACUCGCUGUGAAGAUGCAGUGUACCCGCGGCAAGACGGAAAGACCCCGUGAACCUUUACUAUAGCUUGACACUGAACAUUGAGCCUUGAUGUGUAGGAUAGGUGGGAGGCUUUGAAGUGUGGACGCCAGUCUGCAUGGAGCCGACCUUGAAAUACCACCCUUUAAUGUUUGAUGUUCUAACGUGGACCCGUGAUCCGGGUUGCGGACAGUGUCUGGUGGGUAGUUUGACUGGGGCGGUCUCCUCCUAAAGAGUAACGGAGGAGCACGAAGGUUGGCUAAUCCUGGUCGGACAUCAGGAGGUUAGUGCAAUGGCAUAAGCCAGCUUGACUGCGAGCGUGACGGCGCGAGCAGGUGCGAAAGCAGGUCAUAGUGAUCCGGUGGUUCUGAAUGGAAGGGCCAUCGCUCAACGGAUAAAAGGUACUCCGGGGAUAACAGGCUGAUACCGCCCAAGAGUUCAUAUCGACGGCGGUGUUUGGCACCUCGAUGUCGGCUCAUCACAUCCUGGGGCUGAAGUAGGUCCCAAGGGUAUGGCUGUUCGCCAUUUAAAGUGGUACGCGAGCUGGGUUUAGAACGUCGUGAGACAGUUCGGUCCCUAUCUGCCGUGGGCGCUGGAGAACUGAGGGGGGCUGCUCCUAGUACGAGAGGACCGGAGUGGACGCAUCACUGGUGUUCGGGUUGUCAUGCCAAUGGCACUGCCCGGUAGCUAAAUGCGGAAGAGAUAAGUGCUGAAAGCAUCUAAGCACGAAACUUGCCCCGAGAUGAGUUCUCCCUGAGACUUUAAGUCUCCUGAAGGAACGUUGAAGACGACGACGUUGAUAGGCCGGGUGUGUAAGCGCAGCGAUGCGUUGAGCUAACCGGUACUAAUGAACCGUGAGGCUUAACC